AGAGUUUGAUCCUGGCUCAGGAUGAACGCUAGCGGCAGGCCUAAUACAUGCAAGUCGAACGGUGUAGCAAUACAUAGUGGCGCACGGGUGCGUAACACGUAUGCAACCUACCUUAUACUGAGGGAUAGCCUUUGGAAACGAAGAUUAACACCUCAUGGGACAUUGACUUGGCAUCGGGUUAAUGUUAAAGAUUUAUUGGUAUAAGAUGGGCAUGCGUCCAAUUAGUUAGUUGGUGAGGUAACGGCUCACCAAGACGAUGAUUGGUAGGGGAACUGAGAGGUUAAUCCCCCACACUGGCACUGAGAUACGGGCCAGACUCCUACGGGAGGCAGCAGUAGGGAAUAUUGGGCAAUGGAGGCAACUCUGACCCAGCCAUGCCGCGUGCAGGAUGAAGGCGUUAUGCGUUGUAAACUGCUUUUAUAUAGGAAGAAAUAGACCUUGCGAGGUAAGUUGACGGUACUAUAUGAAUAAGCACCGGCUAACUCCGUGCCAGCAGCCGCGGUAAUACGGAGGGUGCAAGCGUUGUCCGGAUUUAUUGGGUUUAAAGGGUGCGUAGGCGGUUUAUUAAGUCAGUGGUGAAAGACGGUCGCUCAACGAUUGCAGUGCCAUUGAUACUGGUAGACUUGAGUGGGAUUGA
rnacentral:rRNA from 1 species